ACGCGGUCCGUCACGUGACGACCCAUCACACAUGGCGUUUGCGAUCAUGGAGGUAGUCCAUGGCCGUCGGCCCCUGCGUACCGCCGCGGUCGUCUUCGGGCGACCCGAGGUCGUCGAUUAAACAGUCAUGGAGUUACGGCUCCACAGCCCCGCCGGUGCCGAGCCGGCGGUCUACCCCUGGCCACUCUCCACCUCGGACAAGCAUGACGGUGCCAUCGAAAUCGUCGAGACAAUACGCUGGGUCUGCGAGGACUUUCCAGAGCUCAAGGCGGCCAUGGAAAACCAUGUCCUCAAUGACUAUGACACCAAAAGCUAUGAGAGCAUGCGGACCCUGUGUGACAAGUACAACCGGGCAAUCGACAGCUUCUUGCAACUCUGGAAGGGCACGUCACGUCCCGAGCGCCUGCACACGCGGCCAUCGACGGCACUCCUGCGGCACAUCCUGCAGCAGGUCUACAACACAGCCAUCGUUGAUCCCGAGCGGCUCAACUCUUAUGAGCCCUUCUCCCCCGAGGUGUACGGCGAGACAUCCUUUGAGUUUGUGGCACAGAUGAUCAACGAACUGGCGUUCACACCCGACGAUGUCUUCAUCGACCUGGGCAGCGGUGUGGGCCAGGUGGUUCUGCAGGUGGCAUCUUCAACGCCUUGCAAGAUGUGCAUUGGCAUCGAGAGGGCUGAGGUGCCGUCGCGGUACGCACAGUCGAUGGACGCGCACUUCCAGUUCUGGAUGCGCUGGUACGGCAAGACGCAUGGGGACUACCGGCUCAUCAAGGGCGACUUCCUCCAUGAAGCGAACCGGGAUAUGGUCAUGAACGCCUCGAUUGUUUUUGUCAACAACUUUGCAUUCGGGCCAACGGUAGACCACAUGCUGAAGGAGAAGUUUGCCGAGAUGAAGGAUGGCUCACGGAUUGUCUCCUCCAAGGCUUUCUGUCCGCUCAACUUCCGCAUCACGGACAGAAACCUGAGUGACAUUGGAACCAUCAUGCACGUCAAGGAGAUCCAGCCUCUGAAGGGCUCGGUCUCUUGGACGGGCAAGCCGGUCUCUUACUACCUCCACGUUAUAGACCGGACAAAGCUUGAGCAGUAUUUUCAACGCCUCAAGAAUCCUAAGCUGAGGGACGACGAUUCGUCGUGCAACUCGUCGCGGAGCCGUCGCAGCAACGGCCACAGCAUCCACGGGACACGCUCGGCAAAUGGCAGUGUCUGCAACGGCAGUCUGAGCCACGACUCGUCGUCCAAUGACUCGAGGGUUGACGACUGCCUUGUGCUCGGGCCCACAACCCGCCGGGCCUGGUCCGACUGGUGCAACAAGGGGCCGAUGCCGGGCGGGAAACAGGGCAGCAGUGUGUCUGCUCUCAGCAGCGGCCAUGAGAGCAACGAUGAGAACGAGCCAGUGAAAAGACGACCCAAAGCACCUAGACGAACUCCACGGCGAAAGAAACCAAGCAGGGUGGACUCCGGGGCAUCAUCAGUGGCAUCGGUUGAGGUGCGCAAGGGACCGGGCCGGCCGAAGAAAUCGCCCCAGCGUAACAACAGGCGCGUAGGGCGCAAGCCAAUGAAAUUCAGCGGCCUCGAUCUCCUGCAUGCCCAGACGGUGCUGAGCACGUCCAGUGCAGCUGCCAUGCACACGGAGCCUGCGCCUGGCUGCGUUGACCAGAAGCUCGGGGGCUUGGCUCCGGAAGAAGGAUCACUCUCGAGCGAACUGCCGACCGGCUUCCACGAAGUGACCGUCAAGACCGAGCCGCCCACGGAGAACUCCAUGGACAGCAUUGCAGCAGCUGCCAUGGCCAACUCCACGGCUGCGUCCGGCCCGCCGCCGCGUCCACUGACGCCGUUGGCUGAGCCACCUGAGCUGAAGGCCAUGCUGAACGACUUCCGGGCACAGUACAUGGCCAUGUUGAACCACAUGCGGACCGAGCAGUACCGGCAGCAGGUCAAGGAGCACAUUGCCAGGGAGAGGGAGCGCAACGAGAGGCUAGUGGCCAAAGCAGCGCACUUGGAGCGGCAGAUCAAGCACCUCAUUGACGACAGCGUGGUCCUGCUGAAGGCACGCAUGAACGAACUGGGAGUGCAAAGCCACACGCCUGCUGACCUUAUCAACAUGUGUCGUCUUCAGAGAGCAAGUGCCGACAGCCAUCGCAGGCUACUUCAGGCGAAAGAAAUUGUGGUGCGCCACAAGGAGUUGCAAUCAAAGGCAGCAACCCUGGAGCGAGAAGUGAUUCACUUGGAGGAACAGCAGGCAGAACUGCUGGCAAGGCAGGUUCCCAAUGCCAGGGUCCCGCCCCCGCCCUCCACACCAGGGGUCGCCAACCUUCCUGUUUCAACUGGAGGAGACAGCACCACUACUGCCGCUGUCCCCACCAUCACCACCUCCGCGGCAACUGCAGCAACCACCAAUGGCUUUUUUCUGCCCCCCAACCCAGAGGGGCUGAGCCAGCUGUCGCACGAGCACAUUCUGCGCGAGAUCAGCAGCACCUUGUCGCAGCGCCGCAAGCUUCACACCAAAGUCCAGAAGCUGGAAGGUGAAGUGCAGGAGCUGGAGCGCACCCUUGUCUCGCCACCUCCGCGGAGGCCGCCCACACUUGCCUCUCCUUUCACCACAAUGCAACAACAGCAGCAGCAGCUGCAACAGCACCUACAACAGCAGCAGCACCUACAACCUUCACUGCCACACUCUCUUGCGGGACCAGUCCCCGACCUUGUCUCCGAGCCUGGUGCGACGCAGCAGGCCGAUAACAAGCCAGACGACUUGUCCAACCGAGCCAUUCGUACGGCAACACCACCACCGCCAAAACUGGGACCGCUGGCCACAGCCACUUUGCCAGCUGCCACCUGGUCGCCCUCUUCUGUUUCAGCGAAGGCACCCAUUCAGGAGCCGCCAGCACCGACAGAUUUGAGCCGUGUUGUUCCAGACCGUGGUCCUCCCGACGGCGGGCCGCCUAGUGUCAUACAGAGUGCCCCUCCAAAGGAGAAAGGUACCAAGGACAAAAUUGUUGCUGCUUCUGCUCCCAAGAUCGCAGCACCGCUGACGUCAACUGCCGAGGAGGCCCCGCCCGAGAGACCACGCCCCCCGGUAAUUCGAAGUGGUAUCAAGGACAUUGUUGAUGCGAGCUGCUUCUCGAUGACCUACUCGCCAGUCACAUCUGGGCGGGUCCCAGGCACUCAUGCUGAAACCACACCAACUGCUGCGCCGUCGCCCGUGGCAACGAAGACCACGGAUGUGUUGCACACGAGCCGAGAUAAGUCCCCAACAAAGUCAAGCCACCACAAGACUAUAUUGCCUGUGCCACAGCGGACGGCAGCCCCAUCAGAGUCACCAGUGCAUUGUGCCACCCAAGAGGAAUUGCCGCCAACGCCAAAGACGCCUGUUGAGGAUUCGUCUGCCAUGAGCAACAGCAGUGGUGCCACACACCAGUCGUCACGCAAGAGCAGCUCGCCGUCCAAGUCCAAGCACAGGAAGUCGCCCCGGAAACGGGAGCCCAGCCCUCCGCCGCCACCGCCGCCACCACCUUUGCCGGCGUCUGUGUCACCGUCUCCGCCUCAGCAGGUCAAAAAGAAAGCGGAGCUUGACGAUGCAGCUACACCGGUGGCAGUGCCGCUGUCAAAACCGUCCAAUGGGCUCAUCUUAAACCUGGGCAGCCUUCUGGCUUCACGAAACGGCUACAGCCCAAAGCGGGAAGACAGAGCAUCACGAAAGCUCAAGCGAAAGCACUCGCCGCACAAGCUGCGUAGUACAGACGGGGCGGCAGAGAGCAUCAGGCCUCCCUUGGGGCUUGGUGACAAGACUGUGUGCAUACGGAUGAAGUCUGAAACGGGAGUGGAUGUCGAAGAGAAAUUCACCAUCAAGGCCGAGGCGCUGUCCCGGAGGCCUGAGGGCUCGUCGCACGGCCGGCACCAUUGGCAGGCGCGCGUGAGCAGCGGCUUUGACAAACUGGUCGCGCUCGCCUCCUCCAACCAGCAGCCCGAGUCGGCGCCGGCCACGUCACGAAAGGAGCCAGCGGCCACCACCGGUGGGGCCUCGUCAUCCUCCACAUCGUCUUCGUCCUCGUCCUCGUCGGAGCACUGCGAGGCCCCCCGACAGGCAGCUCCGCAGCAGCAGCCGCACAAGAAGUGGGUGGUCGAUAGGGUUCACCGGAAGGACCGCGGAGGGGAGAGCGGCACGCAGCUCGAGAGCCUGUCCAUCAAGAUCAAGGCCGUGAACGCGGGCCCGCCCUCGCCCACGGCCCGCAAGAGGCACCGGAGUCCGCCGGCGCCUUCCCCCUGCUCCUCUUCUUCCAAGAAGGGGGGCGGGCUGACGACGGCCGGCCGAUCUCCGCUGCCCAAGAGGCGGGGCCCGCGCACUCCGCCGGACACGCCCCCUCGGACUCCAUCUGCCUCCCCUGAGCGGCCCGUCACGCCACGCACGCCGCUGUCGCCUACGCCGCCCUCGCACCGUGCCCGCCGCGACGAUGAGCCCCCGCACAGCCCCAUCAGCAGCGUGGACAGCCCGUUCAGCCGGCGUAGCCGGUCCACAAGCCCGCUGCCCGGCAGCCCAGUUGAUGACGACGCCGACGAUGUUGACCGUGCCACGCCACGCAGUGGCACCUCCAGCACCGACGAGCCGCCGCGGCCACCACUUGACAACACUGUGUAUAACAAGCUAGGGCUCGGCACCCGGGACAUUUCAGUCACCUCCGAACAGCAGCAGGCUUCCUCGGUGGGCGGUGCUCCUGACAAGGACGGUCUCUGGGACUGGGCCAAGGAGCAGCCGGCAGCCACGACAGCCCUUCCGGGGGCGCCAUCUCGCUCGGAGCCUGCGUCGUCGUACGCCGCCGCAGUGUCGUACGCAGCUGCUGGCCUCGACUCGUCGUCAAUGAGGCCACAGGCACCCUUGAUGCUGGUCACUUCGUCCAGUUUGGCCCCGCCCCCGAUGCCGCCCCCACUCACACCACAGAUGGCAGCGGCUCCUCCUCCUCCUCCACCGCCUCCGCCACCACACUGCUCGCUGCCGCCGCCACUGGUGGCCAACGUGUCGGUGCCACCGCCCUUCAACAUGCCUCCUCCCCCGCCCCCUCCGCGCACAGCACCCGUGUACAACCCGUCACAGUUGGUGUUGCCGGACACGUCAGUUCCGCCCCCAUUCCUUGGCCCCACCUCCAUGGCCCCUCCCCCAUGCAACUUCACCGUGCCCCCACCCAACAUACUGGCUGCUGCAGCGGCCGGCCAUCCUGCUUCCCAGCAUACAGCGGGAACUGAGCCGCCACCUCAGCACAGGCCCCGUCCCCACUUGGCCCCGCCCCAAUACACGGCAGGGCCUUACACGCUACCCCUGGAGUCUGCUCAGCGAGUGCCCCAUUAUGCUGCGCACCCGCCAGGACUGACGCCGCACAAGAUGCCCCAUCCUGGUGAGGCUGCCUCUGCAGUCUGAGUUCAUUUGGCCUCUUUAUUGUGCAAUGCUUGUGCCAUCAAUGCAGCUUACUUGCUUCAUUCAGCUUUUACCUCAAGUGCUUUUCACGUCCGAAGAGCCAAAUCUUAGGCCAUAUCACGUUAUCCAACUGUUUGAACUUCUGCUCUGAUCAUUGCAGUUCAGCUUGUGUGACUUCCAGUUGUGCAAAAUGGGAAGUGUAAACUUGACUGGUGCUGUUCGUCUGGAUGCACUCUUCGUCUGAACAUGCAGCUGUCCACCAUCGGAUUGUGUGGACAAUGUGCUAUGGAAUAGUGCUUUUAAAUGUCCAGUGAAGUUGACUGAAGUGAAAGGUGCUUAAGGGACAAUUGUUUCAUGGAUUAGACUGAAAGAAUGCACACGCAGCACUACCUGACUUGACGUCGGCGUCACCGGGGCUCGACCCGAAAGCGGAAACGACGAGAUUCUCACCAUCACCAUCGCCACACUGCCACAGCGCCCGUCAGCGAAACGACAACCACAGAGUUGCUGGGACGCAGUUCGGUCGAUGCCUGAUGAUUCUACGUGACACAUUGUGUGCAGACGUGUUUGAAACAAUCUUGUUUUGUUCCGUUUUAAAUUUCUGCGGGCUAACGACCGACGCUGGAAAGCGAAGAGGUGAUUGGAGUCGUCGUCGUCGUUCGGUUCGUCGGGUUCCGGAUUUCUUCUGAGAAAGGCGCCGUGUCGUUUUUCUUUUCUUUUUUUCUUUUUUUUGAUGGGGAGGGGAAGCGUGUUUCUGUUCUGUUUAGGACAGGGUGCUGCACAUUUAGGUACUGGCUAAUGAGGAGCUCUCACAUUAAAACUACUGCAUCAUGUUCACUGCAGAACAUUUUCAUGAAACCAUGUUUUAUGGUGCAUGAUAUUAACGUUUUGGCUUUUUAGUUAUUUAUUCUGCACGAGCUGUUGAUGCAGAGUGAGUUGGUGGUAAGCAAAUGAAGCGAGAACACCAUGACGGAUGGCUUGCAUAACAUAGCUUGUAAUUGGCCUCAGAACUACACAUUGGUAUAAGCAUGAAUUGGAAAUAGGCAAUGCUUUUUUUUUUUUUUUUUUGCUGCUAUUGUCCAUGACCAUUCAGGGGUUUAACCUGAUUGUGCGGCUCCCUGGUCUUUCGUGCCUCUUGUAUCGUGUAUGUUGUUGGAAUUUAUUGGAGGGUUGACCGGCGUGGUCAAAAGAAAGCAUGUUUUGCACUGGCUAUUUGAACAAUGGCCGUGAAAUCAGUCCCGAAUUUGUGGACUGCAAACCAUGCUAGGGCUUUUGCAGGCCUUACGGAGUCUCGAAGCUUUAAUCAGUCUUAGCCUAUAUGCGCUGUGCCUUGUGGUACAUGAUUAAAUUGUGUGGCAAACUGGUUUCAAAUGUUUUUACAGAGCAGUGAGCGCGUUGAAGCUUCCGUGUGCUCUGAAGUUGUCGAGCUCUGAUGGCUGGAAUGCUUACACCGAAUGUAUUUAUGCUGUUUCCAUGAUGGCCUGCUUUUUGAAUAGCCUUCAAAGCUCGUUGGCCAAAUAUUAAGGCCCUCGGUUUUCAGCCGGAAAAGAACCCUCUUUUGUGCCGUUAGCUUGUUGUAUUUAUUACAUUCUUGUUUUCCUUGAACAUUUCCCCUCCCUUAACCAAAGCGUGCCACGGAUAGGCACUGUAGCUCAUUAAAGACACUGCCACCAACUUUUUUUUUUUUUUGUCAUUUUUGAUGCAAAACUAGUCAGAAGAGUGAAUCGUAGUGUUCUUCCUCUAGUUGGUUCGUGUCCUUACUUUCUGUUUUCCCCUUCCCAGCUUUAACUUCAGUGUUUUCCGUGUAACAUGGGAGCAGGGAAAUAAAGACCUUUGUUGUUAUUUUUCUUAACUGUUUUGUACACAUUCUUUAAGGAAGCACUCAGUGCACGCUAGUGCUCACAGAAGCUGGAGAAUUUCAUGCAAAACGUAAUGUCCCGUUUUGUUUGCAGGGCUUACAGGCUGUGCAUGCUUCCAUGCUUAGUUUUUUCCAGAUUGAAGAGCAGACUUAGUGCAGGUGCUAUGAAAGCCAAAAAAAAUCUUGCAUCUUUUGUAGAUGCUUACUCGCGAUGUUUCGAAACGAAGAGACCAAAAAAGAAAGUGAGCCAAUGAAACCAAAAUGUGUUCAUUUGCACGAUUGCUGGUUAGUCUGCACGGGACUUUGGCGUCGGCUUUUUGUUGGCUUUCUAUCGUUCCGGUCUUCCUUCAGUGGCAGACUAGUGGACCUUUUUGUUUAAUUGUGGGUGGCCGAAUUAUUGGAAGCCGCUCUAAUGCCAGGAAUGGCGCCUCCAGGCAGCCUUUUCACAAAGGCAGAGGAGUUCUUACUUUACAGCUUCACAUUUUGCAUUCCCGAGCAUAUUUGGAAACUGUACUGCCUGUUCUUUGCUGCACAAUGGCCGAGACACGUUGCAGAGGUGGUUUUGAAUUUUCGCAGAAUUUCCAAGCAACUUGGGAGUUUUACUUUUUCAUCUUAAUUUGGCUGUCACAUCUCGCACUUACUACUCUGUUUCAGCUGAGAUUUGGAUGGAAGUAGCAUGAAGGUGCAUGAGAUUGCUUUGAGAACACCCACAUUAUUGUUUGGGAGCAUUUGGGUACAGCUAGAGUUUUCGCUGAAGCAACAUUCAAGCAGAGUGUACUGAGCUUGUGAGCUUUGAAUUGCCUACUAGUCGCCAUUCACAAGCAAUGCUUCGAAAUUACUCCUUUUGACUGAUGACACUUGUGAGAGCGAGUAAACUGUCUGCCAAAUCUCUAGGCUGGUACUGCCUACAGGAUUUAAAUAAUGUUGCGGCAAUUACUAGCUACAAGUUGCAUAGUGAAAAGCAACGCAGAUUUACAUCUUUUGGUUUAAAGUCCUGUCUGUUGCUACAGGGCUAAGGCUUUAGAAAGUUUCAGCUGCUCAUUAGACAGGAGCCAUUUUCCCUCUUUCACGGUGUGCAAAGGCUCCAAAGAAGCGCAACCCAAUGUGAACACCUUGGUCCUGCUCAAAGAAGCCUGCCAAGAUCUAGGCAGCCAAUAUGUUCAAACGUUAAUCAAGACACUCCCCAUGUUUACUUUGGCCGCGUUUCCUGUGCUACGCUGCAAAUUUGUACAUUGCGAUGCCAUACGUGUCUUGGCUGACAUCUUUCUCGUUAUCGUCUUGUGUGCAAAGGUCUUCUUCAGCUCAUUGCCCUCAUUGAUGUUGACGAGCUUGCUUCCUCGCGUAUUUAUUUAUUUUUUUUUUUCUCUCCAACCUGCCUUUCCUCCGUGCAUCAUUCCGCGCCACUCGGCCAGCAGUUAAUUUUGGAAGCAAGAAGCAAUCACUGCCAGUGUUUGCGUGUGAGAACGUUGUGCGCCGUGGUUCUCCCGACGCCCUUACAUUGUGCGCUUCAAGUUGCCGAUUGUGAACGAGUGACCUGAAAGAUCCUCUUCAAGAAGAUCCCCUCCCUUUCUUUCCCUUGCGGUUAUGUCUUUCUCCUCCGCGUUGCCAAGCAAGAGACAUUCUUCUCUGCAACACAUUAUGAUGUGGCUGAAUGUAUUUUCCCAUCGUGUGCUGCAAAAUGCCUUGCUUCCCCACAAAUCCUCUCUGCCUGAAUUUGGUGUAUGUAACCCCACUAUGUGUACCUGUGCUGGAAUGCCUCAGCUUUUUCAGGGAGUCUGCCUUUUAUACAUGGAAGAAGUAGUGCAGGGUUUCUUUUGUUUGAGGCUAGUGUUUGCUCUUUCUAAAUCUAGUGUGGACAGGCACGCUUGAAGACGCUGCUACUUGUUGGGAGUGCGUGCUCUCCGGGCGUUGCAGUUGCGCAGAUUGCUUCCUUCACAGGUCAAGGUUUAUUCUCGUAGCCGCAUUCUGUUGGGUUGACGCCUUCCUUUCUUUUGUCUAAUCUGUGAAUAUUGUUGUCUGGCGCGCGAGUAGCGUCUCACCGAGGACCCCGCAAACACACACACACACCUGAGAAUGAACACUGCCACUUGAUGCAUAGCUUGUACAUUGUCUGUUCAUGCCACGAUGUUGUAAACAUUUCCCUUCCUGUGCACGUGCAUUUUAGCGUCCGUUGUUUCAGGUGAAGGAAUUGCGCGAAAGUGCUGCACUUUGUUGUGUGGGGCUAAUCCUGGUGCACUGUCAGCGGCUAGAUAAGAUGAGCUCGCAGGCUUCUCUUCCGUUGCUCUGCAUGGACUUAGAGGAGUGUAAACAGGCACGUGCGUGCUGCUGUGUAUGUGCGCAAGUCUUGACUUGGCUACGUUGGCAAUCUCUAUUUUCUUGUCGCCGUGUCUACACUCUACCCUUCUCCGAGUGAAUACCUAUAGCAAGACAAGUUUUUCUUUUUUUUUUUUUUCUUCCUUGCUCUCGUUGCAGUUGUGGUGAUGGAAUGAGACAAGAUGGCACAGUAUUGUAAAUAGCGUUUCUAGUGCUGGUGCAAGAGAAUCAAGUAGGCAUUAAGUCCCACUUUGCUUUUGGUGAGAGGAAAGUUAUAUGCUGAGAAAGAAGCUUGUGUAUGUACACAUAUUUUUUUUCUUCUCUUUGAGGUAAGCCUAUAGUUCGAAGAGGGGACAUUGUGUGUUGGUAUGGCCGCCGAGUAGUUAGGUGUUGUGAUUAAGCUUGCUCGCUAGACUUGUGUUUCUGGUAGCCUCAGUGUAGGAACAGUGCGCGUAUGGUCACGGAUGAUGUAGGAAACCUAUUUAUAAGGAAGCAUGUAGGCUUGGCCGUCGGGCAGCGUGUCGAGUCAUGUAUGGUUUGCAGUGGCAUCCAGUUACGAGAAAAGGUGGUGGGAGCUUCAGCUUGGUAGUGUGCACGCUGUUCAUGUUUACGCCUUACGUGCGACACCUGGCAUCUUGUGCGAUUCCCCCCACUGCUUCAGAGUUUCGUGAAGCCUGCAUUGUCUGAAUGGCUUCGAAUGAUUGGCUACUAUCUCUUGGAUGUAUCCGUAGCCGAUGUGCGGUUCCUGAGGACUGCGUGGUUCGGGCAUGUGGUGUGCUGCCUUGGGUUCUUGCAGAGUCGGGACGAACGUAGCAAAAAAAAAAAAGUGGGGGGGGGGGGGGGGGAAAGCCUGGCAAAAUAAAGCUUUAAUGUAAAAUUCUUAAGACUAGCUACCAAAGUAGGGAAGCAUGAUCAUCUGUUAAAAUUUUACAUGUUAUAAACCUGUCAAGGUGGUAGUUUCUGUCCUUUUCGAGUGAAGCUGUGUCAAAAUUCAGCACACAGCAACAUCAUUGAUUCACAUUGGAAUGUUGAUCCUAGGUAAUAUACUUUAAUCUUAAAGUUUAUUUCAGGUCUUUACUGUUUUGCAUCUGGUAGCCAGCUGAGUCAGAGCAUGUCAAUAGCAGCCUUCAAGGACACUAGAGAUUUUUGAUCGUGAUUGAUGAAGCACGAUUUACUCGAGCAAGUUUGAAGGCACCCAUGUGACAGGGAUAUGGAAUUUUAGCGAAAGUAGCUCCUUUUGGAGUGCUUAACUCUUUCCUUACCAUGGGGAAAAUAGGUGUUUUUUGUAUGUUACGGCAGAUGUUUUUUUCUGAAGGAACUACUGCACUUACUAUUCAAUGUAAUACAUAAACAGAAAGCAAAAUGAAUGCACUUUUCACGCAUAAAGGUAUGUAUGUCAUAAAGAGAUGUAUGUCAUAAAAAAGAUGUAAAUUGUUAAAAUCAAGAUUGUGCGAUAAAAUUGAACAAAGUUUGUAAAGACCACUUGUAUCUACUAAGAAAGAAAUGUUACGAAAAAUAUGAGAUAUACAAAAUUUAUUGCCGUCUAUUAGGCACUAUCUUCGAAAAAAAUCAAAUUUUUCAUUGAACAGCUAUUUCGCAACAAAAAUUUUAACUGCAAGCACUACAGUUGCGCUGUGCCGGGCUGGUUUGCUUCGUCGCUUUUCGACUCAAGGUCCAACGAAAAGUCAGCGUCCUCUGACUCUCUGUUAUUCGAUGUAUCCAUAUGAUAAGCCGCAGAGGCAGCGGAAUCGCGAUAUCUGCAAUCUCCUGAAGCGCGCGCGGCAUUUUUGGAGCCGGACAUUUUUGCGUUCUGCUUUGACGAUCGCGAAACUUCGGAGCGCGUUUAAAAAUCACCGCUUGGCAGGAAAAAAGCGAACUGCUUAGAAAACAAAGUAUAGUUUCUCCUCUUUCACAUCCGAUGGCGCAGUGUGUCCGUGAGCAGCGCAGAAGAUCUCGAAAGCGGCAUUUCAAACCAUCGAUAGAGGGCUAACCAUGCCUAAUGGGUGCGGUACGGAAAGAGUUAAUGGAAUGUGUAAGUAAUAUAACAUACACAUUGUUUCCUCUUUAUGUUGCUUAUUGCAACACACUAUGACAGGAAAGCCAGUGCUGAAAGCAUCUGCACGCAAUAGUUUCUGAACCACUGCAGCACACCGUGCUCCACCUUUCCAACUCCAUGCAGUGCAGCAAAAGCUAUAGGACACGUAAAUCAACCAGAAGAUUGUCUGCCGAUGAUUGCCCUCUGCACAGUGCUAACUGAACAGAAGCAUCAUGGAAGGAUCAGUGAUACUCAAUCAACGGAACAUACAGCUGGCUCUCUGAUUGGUUGACGCAAGCCUUAGCCUUCGCUGUACUGGAAACUGAGUAUAUCAGUUCAGGUGAAGUGAUGCACAUGUGUAAAAGACGUCAUCUAUCUUUGCUUUCAAACAAAACCGUAGCCAAACAGAAAUGUGGCUUCUUUCUAACUCUGAUCGGCUGUGGGAAUGACGUGAGAUGCCUGGAGUUCUGCACGCGUACUGGAGCAGUGAUGUUUGAUGUCUGCAAGGAGUGAACACUGUGUGCAUUGUUGUCGAUGGGCCCUCGACAGGGCAGCCUGUGGGAUCAUCCGAGCCUGCCAGAUAGCAAGUGCGCACAGUCUGGUGUGUUAUGUCCUGGUGGUGUUGGAACGCUUGUUGAAGGUGAUCGCUGGAAGUGUUGUUGUAAAUGGGUGUUGUGAGCACAUCCCCUCUGAGCUGUGGCUACAAGGACUUUGUGCGUUCUGGGCAUUCUCAACGAGCGUCGCUUAUUUUAAAUACACCUGUUUUCUUUCUAUGCUUGCUCUUUGGCAUGUUUUCUUGUUCUUUCUUUUGCUCUCUUUUUUUUUCAUGUGUACAGACACUGUAUUUGUUGGGCAUUUUUUUGAAGUUGAAGCACAACUUUUUCUUUCUUGUUCUCUGUUUUGCCAAUGUGUUUCACUUGGUAUGUGUAGUGGAUCACUAUCUGUUGCUGGCACUGUAUGGAAAUGCACGACAUUCUCACUUGCGAAGUGAGUUGGUUGUGGAGGGGGGCUCUCUUUUCUUGUGUGGUGUUACUUAGCACAGGAAAGCUUGGCCACAUUGUGAUGGAACUGUGUCAUUGGCUUUUUUGCGUAACCGAACUUGUAUUGUUAGUGCUGACUAUGUCUCAUUGUAGCCUUAGUUCCAGACAGAUGAUGAUGGUGCCGGCCGUACAUGGCGCUGAUUUGCAGAGACCCACAAUUUUUUUUUUUUUUCUGCAUGGACGAACCUCAGCGAGAACUAUUCAUAACUUUGUGAAAACCCUAAAAGUGUAAAAGAAAGGAGGACACAUUUCUUCCCCACUGCCCGAGCGUUCUUUAGCCUGCGAUACUAGGCAAACUUAAUGCUUUUUCCAUCGCCCUUCAGUGUACCUGUGUCCAAGAUGUCCACUGCGGUGUGGCAUUGGUGUACCGUUCUUUACUGCCAAAACUGCAGCGCCUUGAAUCUGGGAUUGAGUUUGUUUGACUUGAACUAUGAGACUCUGGAGGGGAGCCCUUCUGAGAGCAGGGUACUUGCACAGCCAAAGCUUGUAUUGGAUUGCGGCCUUUUCACCUAUAGCGUUCAGUGAUCAAUGUCAUGUGGUUCAUUCAGAUGUGUACCUGAGUUUUCAAAGCUGCCGAGCGUCUCAUCGCUGCACUGUUACCUGCUUACACCACUUAAGCAUUAACCAUCGACAUGUUCGUUUUCGACACAAAGCAUCAGUAUUUCCGUAUGUGCAGUCGUAAUGAAUUCAUAAUCUCAGCUGCUUGCUUAUCAGCCAUCUUAAUUUAUUCUGUUCAGUAUGACAGCCAAAGCACAUGAUGCCAUCAACACACGCCUGCUCGUAUAUGGUAGGUUUCCUUUUUUUUUUUCAGUUAUUGCUUUAAUGACGUUUUUGCCAUUAGACAAUGACUCAUGCACCUACAGCAGGUUGAGUUUAGUACAGGCCUCAAUAAAUUGUUCAGGGGGGGGACUCUGUGUGAGUCCAGUUUUUGCAUUAUAUAGUGCCUAAGGCGUAAAUGUUAUGCUCAGCCAGGUAGUUGGGUUAGGGCAGUCUCGCAUCAGAAAAUCCAGUUUACUCAAGCUUGUUUUUCAAUGCAAGCACAAAAACAAAAAAAUAAAUGCCAUACUACAGGGCACUACAUAGCUGUUAAACUGCUCCAUCAAAAAAAAAAAAAAAAAAACGAAUGUUGCUCCAGUUUGUUUAAGAUUUGAGGCGAGGUAAGGUUAACUGAUACGUUUUGUAACGCACUGCCUCUUUUUGUGCCGUUUGUUUUGUAUUUAUAUAGUUGCUAGUUCAAAUGUGUCAUCUUGCCAUACCGCAGUGGACAUAGUGCCGCCUGUGCUGCUGAUGUAAUGUCAACUGUCACUCCCACAGCGUGUCUAACAACUGUGUCUCAGGGGGCCUAUUCGAUUAUCCGUCCCUGACAGUCCCGGACUGUCCGAGCUGCUGCAUACGCAAUGCUUAUUGGCUGAAAGCAACGCCUAGGGCAGUCCGGGACCGUCGGGGACAAAAAAUCGAAGAGGCCCAGUGUUUCUCUUUGCGCACAUAAAAGACACUGCUUUGUCGACGCAUUCUAUCAAACUGUCACAGAUCGAUUCUGCAGAAUUGGGAGAAUGGUGAUAAUUGACUUUCUUGCAAGUGUGGGACAGAUUUAACGUAAGGAUGAUAGUAUGAUUUUCCUUCUCCUUUGUUUUCUUUUUCUUCCUAUUGUAUUUUUAGACAGAGCACUGAAACUGUUGCAUGUUAACCAGUUUGUUGUUGAUGCUGUGUUUUUCAUUUUUAGAGAUAUUUAUAAGCAUGUACAGGAAGCACACACAUUCUACGACUACUGCCGACAGAAAUCAUUUGUACCAUACCUCGAAAGUGUCUAUUGUAACAAAUGGGAAAAAGAGAAAUCCACACUUCCAACUGUAGCAUUUGGAAUUAAACACGCCCCUCUUUUUAGCAAAAC